rnacentral:rRNA from 1 species
CGGGGGGACUCAGCAAUGAGCCUUCGCGCGAUUGGAGCGGCCGAUAUCAGAUUAGGUAGUUGGUGGGGUAAAGGCUCACCAAGCCAACGAUCUGUAGCUGGGUCCUGAGAGGACGACCCAGCCACACUGGGACUGAGACACGGCCCAGACUCCUACGGGAGGCAGCAGUGGGGAAUUUUGGACAAUGGGCGAAAGCCUGAUCCAGCAAUGCCGCGUGCAGGAUGAAGGCCCUCGGGUUGUAAACUGCUUUUGUACGGAACGAAAAAGCCUGGGGCUAAUAUCCCCGGGUCAUGACGGUACCGUAAGAAUAAGCACCGGCUAACUACGUG